AUUGCUCUUAGAGCUCUUAACUCUACAUCCAUAGCUUCUUUCAACUUUAGAAUAACAAUGGCCUUUGAGUAAGAACUAGGUUCAAAGUUAGAAGACAAGGUAUAAACAAAAGCUUUUGUGAUUUAUCAUAACAAAGGACUUGAGACAAAGGGUGAGAAGUGGAAGGACAUAUACCAAAAAUUGAGAAACAAUGGUAGUAACAGA
rnacentral:lncRNA from 1 species